rnacentral:lncRNA from 10 species
GGUGGAGCUGAGGGUGGAAGGGGAGUGAGCUGACGCUCGGAAGGUGUCUUGAGAUUAUCAUCCGCUGAGGGUGGAAGCGGCCCCCGCAGACGCUCGGCAGGUGUCUUGAGAUUAUCAUCCGCUGAGGGUGGAAGGGGAUGGAGCAGACACUCGGCACGUGUCUUGAGAUUAUCAUCCGCUGAGGGUGGAGCUGAGGGUAGAGCUGAGGGUGGAAGGGGAGUGAGCAGACACUCGGGAGGUGUCUUGAGGCUCAGGGAGUUAUCAGUUAUAGAAUGUUGUUGAGUUGGAGGAGGUGGCUGGUGGCCCAUCCUGUUUUUUAAAGUUUCAGCUGUGAGGUA